GAGUUGGAGACAAAAAAUAGUUUAAAGUUCAUGACUGUCUGGAAAAGCUAUCGGAGGAAGGCACUUGGUCACCAGAUUGCCUGGCAUGUAGGUUUUGAAUAGCUAAUCCUCUUUUUUUUUCCCCUGAGGAAGAGGAUGUGUUUAAGAAUCAUUUGGAGAGGCCUAAGGUUGCAUUUUUCCAUUGCUUACAUGGCUGCACUGGGGACUCAAAGAAGUUUUCUUCAAGAGAAGAUCUGAGCUCUUUAAGGAAUAGGAAAGAAUGAAAUGUGCUGAUAAGCAAGGCAUGGAUGAGACAGGCAGAGGCAUACAGGCUUUGAAUAAGCAGGGAACUUUACCAUGCACGCAUCCUGGAUCUUUUUGUACCAGGAUGAUUGGUGUGCCCCGUCCUUGUGGUCAACUGCUUUGCCUGGAAGAUUAAUGGCAGAGGAGAAAAUGUGAGGGAAGGGCAGCCUUUGCAGAUCUCUGUGCUUCUGCCUGUGGCUGAAGCAACACUAUGCCAUGGGUGAGUGCCAGCACACUGUCCGUGAUGCUCAGGUGCUGCUUG